rnacentral:rRNA from 1 species
CAGCAGCCACGGGAAUACAGAGGGUGCGAGCGUUAAUCGGAUUUACUGGGCGUAAAGCGUGCGUAGGCGGCUUCUUAAGUCGGAUGUGAAAUCCCUGAGCUUAACUUAGGAAUUGCAUUCGAUACUGGGAAGCUAGAGUAUGGGAGAGGAUGGUAGAAUUCCAGGUGUAGCGGUGAAAUGCGUAGAGAUCUGGAGGAAUACCGAUGGCGAAGGCAGCCAUCUGGCCUAAUACUGACGCUGAGGUACGAAAGCAUGGGGAGCAAACAGGAUUAGAUACCCGCGUAGUCCCUGUCUCUUAUCA